CUCCCCCACCCUCCCUGCACAGUUGCUGGCUACCCUGCUGAUCCAGUACGAGCGGCUGCGGGGGGUGCAGUCCUCGGGGGUCCUCAUCGUCUUCUGGUUCCUGUGUGUAGUCUGUGCCAUCAUUCCCUUCCGCUCCAAGAUCCUUUCAGCCAUAGCAGAGGGCAAGAUCUCAGACCCUUUCCGCUUCACCACCUUCUACAUCUACUUUGCCCUGGUGCUCUCCGCCUUCAUUGUGUCCUGCUUCAGUGAGAAGCCACCAUUUUUCUCCCCAAAGAAUGACAACUCUGUGAGUUUACCAGGGAGAGUGUGGGAGCCCUGAAGGGC
rnacentral:lncRNA from 1 species